UAGGGAAUCUUCCGCAAUGGGCGAAAGCUUGACGGAGCAACGCCGCGUGAGUGAUGAAGGUCUUCGGAUCGUAAAACUCUGUUAUUAGGGAAGAACAAAUGUGUAAGUAACUAUGCACGUCUUGACGGUACCUAAUCAGAAAGCCACGGCUAACUACGUGCCAGCAGCCGCGGUAAUACGUAGGUGGCAAGCGUUAUCCGGAAUUAUUGGGCGUAAAGCGCGCGUAGGCGGUUUUUUAAGUCUGAUGUGAAAGCCCACGGCUCAACCGUGGAGGGUCAUUGGAAACUGGAAAACUUGAGUGCAGAAGAGGAAAGUGGAAUUCCAUGUGUAGCGGUGAAAUGCGCAGGGAUAUGGAGGAACACCAGUGGCGAAGGCGACUUUCUGGUCUGUAACUGACGCUGAUGUGCGAAAGCGUGGGGAUCAAACAGG
rnacentral:rRNA from 1 species